rnacentral:rRNA from 1 species
UACGAAGGGGGCUAGCGUUACUCGGAAUCACUGGGCGUAAAGCGCACGUAGGCGGAUUGCUAAGUCAGGGGUGAAAUCCUGGAGCUCAACUCCAGAACUGCCUUUGAUACUGGCGAUCUUGAGUCCGGGAGAGGUGAGUGGAACUGCGAGUGUAGAGGUGAAAUUCGUAGAUAUUCGCAAGAACACCAGUGGCGAAGGCGGCUCACUGGCGCGGUACUGACGCUGAGGUGCGAAAGCGUGGGGAGCAAACAGG